CGCACAAGCGGUGGAGCAUGUGGUUUAAUUCGAUGCAACGCGAAGAACCUUACCUGGUCUUGACAUCCACAGAACUUGCCAGAGAUGGCUUGGUGCCUUCGGGAACUGUGAGACAGGUGCUGCAUGGCUGUCGUCAGCUCGUGUUGUGAAAUGUUGGGUUAAGUCCCGCAACGAGCGCAACCCUUAUCCUUUGUUGCCAGCGGUCCGGCCGGGAACUCAAAGGAGACUGCCAGUGAUAAACUGGAGGAAGGUGGGGAUGACGUCAAGUCAUCAUGGCCCUUACGACCAGGGCUACACACGUGCUACAAUGGCAUAUACAAAGAGAAGCGACCUCGCGAGAGCAAGCGGACCUCAUAAAGUAUGUCGUAGUCCGGAUUGGAGUCUGCAACUCGACUCCAUGAAGUCGGAAUCGCUAGUAAUCGUAGAUCAGAAUGCUACGGUGAAUACGUUCCCGGGCCUUGUACACACCGCCCGUCACACCAUGGGAGUGGGUUGCAAAAGAAGUAGGUAGCUUAACCUUCGGGAGGGCGCUUACCACUUUGUGAUUCAUGACUGGGGUGAAGUCGUAACAAGGUAACCGUAGGGGAACCUGCGGUUGGAUCACCUCCUUA
rnacentral:rRNA from 1 species